AUUGAACGCUGGCGGCAGGCCUAACACAUGCAAGUCGAGCGGAUGAGAGAAGCUUGCUUCUCGAUUCAGCGGCGGACGGGUGAGUAAUGCCUAGGAAUCUGCCUGGUAGUGGGGGACAACGUUUCGAAAGGAACGCUAAUACCGCAUACGUCCUACGGGAGAAAGCAGGGGACCUUCGGGCCUUGCGCUAUCAGAUGAGCCUAGGUCGGAUUAGCUAGUUGGUGAGGUAAUGGCUCACCAAGGCGACGAUCCGUAACUGGUCUGAGAGGAUGAUCAGUCGCACUGGAACUGAGACACGGUCCAGACUCCUACGGGAGGCAGCAGUGGGGAGUAUUGGACAAUGGGCGAAAGCCUGAUCCAGCCAUGCCGCGUGUGUGAAGAAGGUCUUCGGAUUGUAAAGCACUUUAAGUUGGGAGGAAGGGUUGUAGAUUAAUACUCUGCAAUUUUGACGUUACCGACAGAAUAAGCACCGGCUAACUCUGUGCCAGCCGCCGCAGUAAGAC
rnacentral:rRNA from 1 species